rnacentral:rRNA from 1 species
GGCAGUUAUGAGACGUGAAGAUGAGUAUCUUGUAAAGAGGGAUAGGAGAAUUGGAGGGCAAGUUUGGUGCCAGCAGCCGCGGUAAUACCGACUCCAAGAGUGUGUAUGAGAGAUGCUGCAGUUAAAAAGUCCGUAGUCAUAGAAGGGCAAAGAGAGAUGCGAGGUCUCACAGUGCGAUGAUGGAGGAGCCGAUGGGGAACAUAGUAUACCAGGGCGAGAGAUGAAAUGCCAAGACCCCUGGUGGACUGAGCGAGGCGAAGGCGAUGUUCUUGUAGGCAUUCGGUGAUCAAGGACGAAGGCUGGAGUAUCGAAAGUGAUUAGAUACCGCAGUAGUUCCAGCAGUAAAAGAUGCCGACAUGCUCAUUGGACACAGUGGGCAGGGAGAAAUCUUAGAGUUCGGGCUCUGGGGAUAGUAUGCUCGCAAGGGUGAAAAUUAAAGAAAUUGACGGAGCUACACCACAAGGAGUGGAUUGUGCGGCUUAAUUUGACUCAACGCGAGGAAACUUACCAGGGCCAAGUAUUGUGUAGAAACGAGCAAUACAGGAGUGGUGCAUGGUCGUUGGAAAUUGAUGGGAUGACUUUGACCUUAAAUGGUUGAAUGAGUGAGAUCUUUUGGACAUGUUCCGCACGGAACAGGAAGGAAAAGGCUAUAACAGAUCCGAGAUGCCCUCAGAUGCCCUGGGCUGCACGCGCAAUACAAUAGCAGGUAGAGAGAGAGACAGGAAGGUGCUCAGAUGGACUAUGUGCUGUAAGGCACAUACGAAAGAGGAAUUCCUAGUAAGUGUGUAUCAACAAUGGAUAUU